rnacentral:misc_RNA from 1 species
CAAACACUAUGAUAAGAAUAAAAAACAGUUGGUGUGGAUUAAGCAUGUGAGUAAUUACAUACCAAAGAAAUGCCCGAUACCGAAAGGAAUGUUAUUAGUAAGAUUUAUUUUUUUUUAAAUUAUAUGUAUGUGGCAAACAAAUGCAAAAAUUGACACUCAUUCAAUAUUUCCGAACACUAAUGUUUUUGUAAAUGUGGCGGCACUCGACAAGCCAAAUACCACCACUCGACAUUUACUAGUGUCGGACGACGGCAGCGCAGUGGUUAGCGCCAACCUAGAUGGCCGUACUGCAGAUACUAGGUGGAGAUACAACAUGGCCCUCCCCCAAAAGGAUACAGAAGACAAACACAGAAAAAACACAAAAAGAUAUUGGUGGAUACGGAACCCAUAACAAAAAACAACAAGAUAAAGAACCACAAAACGGUAACGCCCACUGAAUUAAGUGUAAAUAUGUAAAUAUGUAAAUAGAUAUACGAAUACUACACUAAUCCCGCAGAACACCACUCCCCUCCACUUCCAGUCCAUCCCCUCCCAUCCCUCCCCUAAUAGGCUAGCGAACUGUCCUGUUUUUGCGUCCAGGCUUUCAGGACAUAAAUUAAAACAUCGCACAUAAGCUUAGCGCAACAGCGGCUUAAAUUUAACUAACUAUAAUAGGCGUAAAAAAAAAAAAAAAAAAAAAUGUAAUAAUGCAUGGCUACGUCGUACCGUCGCGUAUCGGUACUUUUGCCUGUACCACCCUACAAUUAGAAUUCAGCGUUUAUUCUGGAAAAAAACCAUGUAAAAACAAAUAUGUAAAAAUCCUGGAAUUAAUAAACAAAGUUAAAAAAAAAAAGAAAAAA